rfam:Parabacteroides sp. YL27, complete genome.
UGAGCCGGGCGGUCAGCCGCUUGCCGACUUCGAGAGCGGCAAGAGGAAAGUCCGGGCAACGCAGAGCACCAUGGUUGUUAACGGCAACCUGCCGGCAACGGCAGAGCAGUGUGACAGAAAACAACCGCUGCCCCCGGGGCAGUAAGGGUGAAAAGGCGAGGUAAGAGCUCACCGGGCGGUAUGGCGACAUAUCGCGCCGCACACCUCAUGGGUUGCAAAGUCAAGUAUACCGGCAUUCAAGGGUUGCUCGCCCAUUGUCGGGGGGUAGACUGCUACCGAGGUCAUCACACAUGGCCCGACCAGAUGAUACGGCAACGUACAUCGUAGAUAAAUGGCUGACCGGCAUGCCCCGUCUCCGCUACGGCGAAGAUACCAGGCACGACCGACAUAACCCGGCUUAUAGCCCGGCUCACCCU